UACGUAGGGGGCAAGCGUUGUCCGGAUUUAUUGGGCGUAAAGAGCGUGUAGGCGGCUUGGUAGGUCUCGCGUCAAAACCUGAGGCUCAACCUCAGUUCGCGUGGGAAACCACCUAGCUAGAGUCCGGAAGAGGAGAACGGAAUUCCCAGUGUAGCGGUGAAAUGCGCAGAUAUCAGGAGGAACACCGGUGGCGAGGGCGGUUCUCUGGGCAUGAUCUGACGCUGAGGAGCGGAAGUGUGGGGAGCGAACAGG
rnacentral:rRNA from 1 species